rnacentral:rRNA from 1 species
UACGUAGGGGGCUAGCGUUGUCCGGAAUCAUUGGGCGUAAAGAGCGUGUAGGCGGCUCGGUAAGUCCGCUGUGAAAGUCCAGGGCUCAACCCUGGAAUGCCAGUGGAAACUGUCGAGCUAGAGUCCGGAAGAGGCGAGUGGAAUUCCUGGUGUAGCGGUGAAAUGCGCAGAUAUCGGGAAGAACACCCGUGGCGAAGGCGGCUGCUCUGGGACGGUACUGACGCUGAGACGCGAAAGCGUGGGGAGCGAACAGG